AAAGGGAGCAAUCCUAAGUAAAGUGGCGCACGGGUGAGUAACACGUGGAUCAUCUACCUUUUAGUGGGGAAUACCUCUGGGAAACCGGAGACAAUACCGCAUAAGCCCGCAAGGGGGAAGCAGCAAUGCGCUGAAAGAGGAGUCCGCGGCCGAUUAGCUAGUUGGCGGGGUAACGGCCCACCAAGGCGAAGAUCGGUAGCCGGCCUGAGAGGGCACACGGCCACACUGGCACUGAAACACGGGCCAGACUCCUACGGGAGGCAGCAGUGGGGAAUCUUGCACAAUGGGCGAAAGCCUGAUGCAGCGACGCCGCGUGAGCGAUGAAGCCCUUCGGGGUGUAAAGCUCUUUCGACGGGAACGAUAAUGACGGUACCCGGAGAAGAAGCUGCGGCUAACUACGUGCCAGCAGCCGCGGUAAUACGUAGGCAGCGAGCGUUGUUCGGAAUUACUGGGCGUAAAGAGUGUGUAGGCGGUGUUCCCAGUCUGUUGUGAAAUCUCCCGGCUUAACUGGGAGGGUGCAGCGGAAACUAGAAUGCUAGAGGGUGGGAGAGGUAAGCGGAAUUCCUGGUGUAGCGGUGAAAUGCGUAGAUAUCAGGAGGAACACCUGUGGUGUAGACAGCUUACUGGACCACUUCUGACGCUGAGACACGAAAGCGUGGGUAGCAAACAGGAUUAGAUACCCUGGUAGUCCACGCCCUAAACGAUGCAUACUUGGUGUGAGCGAUUCAUUUCGUUCGUGCCGGAGCUAACGCGUUAAGUAUGCCGCCUGGGGAGUACGGUCGCAAGGCUGAAACUCAAAGGAAUUGAC
rnacentral:rRNA from 1 species